ensembl:lncRNA
AGUCUCACAACCAGCUCUCUGGAGAACAAACAACCAACCCUGAUUCGUGGAGUUUGCCAAUUUCCAUGAUGUAAAUACUCCGACCGUGGGUGAUUUCAAACUACCUUCCUGAUGUCACCGAAGGUGGAGCUGGGAAGAGAUGGGCAGUAGGUGGUGAUGUGCAGGGGGUGGUGUCCACGCCAUCCUAUGGUGUUUCCCCCACACGGACACAAUAGACGCAGACAACCUCGAGCGCCGAUGAUGGCAAAGUGAAGUGAAUUGAUAGGAAUUGAUGAGUUCGGAGUAUUUGUUACUUUUAAUUUUAAGGCCAUUUAUUGAAUGGUAAGUUUGUAUAACUUUAUUUUUAACAGUGACUGCUUUUAACAAGCAGCUCACAAAAUUAAUUCCUGAAAAUUUCACAAGCACCUCUUGAGAGCCAGUAUGAACUGAUUGCAGCACACCACUGCCCGAACCCCGUGAUGUAGACGCUGUUGUCAGGGAGGUGAAGCGAGGCCACUCAGCUGGUCAAUGGGACAGCUGGAGAUUCUUGAGCAAGUAACUUCCUGUCUCUGAGCCUCAGUUUCCUCAUCUGUAAAAUGGGGACAAUAAAACGGGGUGCUGCGGAGGUUUAAUGAGCUAAUGCUUGUAAAGCACCUGGCGUUCAGGACAUGCUUGACAAGUGGGAACCAGUAGUGUGUUAAACUUCUUUUUAUGAUAAUAAUGAACAUGGAUCCUGCCCUCAAGGUCUUCAUGGCCUAGUGGAGGGAGGGGGCCAAUGAUAAGACAUAUACACAGUCACAGGAAUCUGAUCCAGGCAGAAAAGGAAGGCUUCCUGGAGGAGGCUGCAUUUGAACUGGGCCUGGCAGGUAAGGGAGAAGCGGGGUCCCUAGGGGUUAGGAGGAGGCAUUCCUGGCUGACGGUCCACAACAAGCAGAGGAGGGACCCAGGAGGCGUGAAGAUGAGAGUGAGAGAUGAGGCUCGAGGCAACAGGAAGAACGUCGGAAGCCAAGACGGAGUCUGAACUCUCCUCUGAGGGCAGUGGGGAGCCACAGCAGUUGUUCAGCAGGGCCUGAUGCCAUCAGACUGGCCUCUUGGAACGUCAGUGACCGCAGUAGGGAGAAGGGCUGGGAGGGGGCAGGAGUGGAGGUGGCAUUGGCCAUGGAGCCGGGGGUAUGGAAGCCCACCCAUCUGGGCUCCUUCACUGUGCCUGGGUGUGGCUAGAGUGUCCAAAGACACAGGCCCCCUUGACCCCUCCUCUCCUGUAGCCACUGGGGGCGCGGCACAGUGGAGUCCCCGCCCCAGCCCUGCCCAAGCCCAGGUCCAGCUCCAGCCCCCGCAGCUAAUCCUAGUGUCACUGGGUCCCGAGGCCGGGGCGGGGCAGCCUGGCAGCUGGCCUCAAUUAGGUGGGGAGCCUGGUCUGGACAGUGUCAUUAGGAGAAAACCAGAGCCCGGCCAUAAACUCUAAUGAAUGCAUUAAUGGAAGGCUUGUGCGCCUCAAAGGGAAAAAAAAAAGCAGGUCUAAAUAAAGUUAUUAACACAGCCCACCUGUGUUCGGCUCUUGGCCUAUAUUGUUCAAAUAGCCCAUUAACUCCUGAAGCAUCCAGUCUUGAAAGCGAGGCCUGCCUCUCUGAAGCCGACGUUUAACUGCGUUCAUAUAAUUCAAUUAGAUUCCGCAGUCCUGGGCCAAAGGCAUUCUCCCGGCUUUCAUCUCGGUAAUGGCCUGCAGGCCGGAGCGGGGAACAGGGGGUUAAAAAGAGGGGCUUGGAACCUGCCUUUUGGCCUGACUCACCCCAUCACCUGGAGCGGCCUCCAAAUGAUUUCCUGGGGCAGAACGUGUUCAUCACCCGCCCAGGCUCCCCGUGGUCUUCAGUGCCUGGAAUUCGAACCCAGACCUUCCUCACGCAUUCUCUGUCCAGCAUCCAAGCCCCGCACCCCCUCCAGUCGGCUCCAUUCCCCUUGUCCAGUGGUCCAGCCAUCCAAGGACCCUGACUCCGCUCAGCCAACCCUAUUAAUAAAGAGUAAAGAAAAUUCAUUAGGAAGUGGGCCUUUUAUAGAUUCCGUUAAAGCGUUCUUCCUACCUCUGUCACUGAAAAAGGAUAAAAAUCCUUUUAUCACUCUACAACUUGUUAAUGUUCCACCCCGGGAGCACUUCAUCUGUAAUAAACAUCUUCACGAAAUAUGCAUCCCCAGGGAGGAGCCGUUAAUUUCCUCAAGGCCUCACACAUGUAAAGGGUUUUAUUGCCUGCAGGUGCUUCACGAUAUUGCGUGGGCUUCUAAUAAACGUCCAGUAAACCGCAGGUAGCGCCUCGGAGAGAGAUGGGCCUGUGCACCUGUCCACAAAGGGCCUCCACAUGCUGCAGCUCCGCCUUCCGUGGCCCAGCCCUGGCACGGUCGGCUCCGGAGACGAUCCUGCCCCUCGGGACGCCUGCAGGGCCACAGCAGUUGGGGCCACGGCUUAUCCAUCAUUGCAAAGAUCUCUCCGAGAGAAAUGAAACAAGUCAGCUCUGCCCAGAGGGGGAGAAAGCUGAACGGCGCAUGGGGCCGCCCGUCCCAGGACCUUCUUGGCUUGGCUCCUGUGGAAGGGCGUGGGCUCCUUCGUCUGAAAACUGCCAAGGGAAUGCAGCCACACGGCUUAAGAGAAAUGGCGCAUCCCUGUGGUUUGGUGUCCAAGUGGACCAUUCAGGACGCUCAACUCAGAUUCCUUCCCAAACUUUGUCCAGCUCCAAGACCAACAGGGGGCUUCCACUGCAGAGGUCCAGACACCUGCACAGAUGUGUCCCUGCUGGGGGGAGGGGGUGGUGGUGAAGGUGGAAACACCGUUUCUAAGCAGCUCCUUAGAAGUGAACAAAUUCUGGUACCUCCGCGUUGUCUCGGGAACCUGCCUCUUUCCUGCCGUCUGUGCUCCCAUCCUCCCAGUGGGGGGGCUGUGGAUUCUCCAACAGGCCCAGGUAGAAUUCUGAGGUCAUCGGAGUCCCUCCUUCAAGCCUCAGUUCUAUCAGUAUCAAACUUCUGGGGAGACUUCAGGGGAAGCAGCAAGUUUGAGCCAAGAACGCAGAAUUGGAAUUCUCUGAUAAAUCCCUCCCAGCUGAGCCGGGAGGGUCUGUAGUUGGCUCAGCAAGCAGGGACGGCAGGAAGGGGCUGGUGCUGGGAAACUUCAAACAGACCUGGGGUGGCGGGGAGGCUGUGCUGAGGGAGGAGGCCACCGACAGAGGGCUCAGUUAAUUAAAGAGAUGCGUGGGCACACCUAUAGGCUCAGCCCUCUUGGUGUUAAAGCGCCAGCAACUCAAGUUCUGUGCAGGGACUCCCUCCCCCAGGGGGAGGCCUGGAAGCGGGGGAAGCCUCGAGCCACAUUUAGGAUGGACAUUUGCAGUCUUCUGGAAAGCCCCAGCCAGGGGUCCUUGGCCCUUCCACCAAGAGUUCCAAGGGAGCCGAGACUGUUUAAAAGCCUCCUUAAGCAUCAAGGGGUCUCCUGUGUUGCAGGCACUGGGCUGCACAUCACCUGGGAGAGGUAGGGGUCAUCAUAUCUCCCAUUUUACAGAUGAGGGAAGUAAGGCUCAGAAGUCACCAGCUCAAGUGCCUAUGGCUGGUGUGUGGGAGAGGCCCGGCUGGAGCUAGGAUUCUCUGACUUAUGCCACUGGCUGGAGCUGGGGACAGGACAGAGACCAGCAAAGGACAGGUGAUGGCUGCUUCCAUCCGGCCCUCACCUUGGCCCGCCCUUCACACUGUCCUUGACAUUCAAUCAGGUGCCUGUGAUGUCUGGCCCAGAGGUUGGGGCUGGGCCUCCCCAGCUUCCCAGCGACAAAUGGUUCUCAUUUGAAAGGGAGGUUAUAAAAACACAUG